CCUCCUUGCCCCCUCCUUCCUUUCUUCCUUUUUCUUUUCAUCACCCUUCCUCCUUUACUGACUCCUCCCUUUUAUCCCACUUUCCCUAGCUUCUAUCUUCCCUUUAACAGUAUUUGUUGAACCCUGUACUGGAUGCCAGAUCCAGCAAAUCCAGCACCUUGGUAACUGAAGGACUGUAACUUAAACAACAACAACAACAAAAAAGUAAUGUGAUGAUAUGUAAAGGCCUCCAAGACCUUAAUUAAAACAACAUCAACAAAGUAUGGAGCAGAGUGUAUUAGAUCGCUUCAGCCAUCAUUGUCAGCAACAACCAAGUUGACAAUCCACGCUGUGAACCAGUUCUCCUGCUUGGGUGAUGUUGGGGUACUGGGGAACUCAUAGCUUCCUCAACAGAGAAGCUACACCAGGAGAUGAACGCUGAGGAGGACCAGAUGAUGAAGGGCUCGGAGUCAGAAGCAGGAGUGGCUGGGCUGGAGAAUUGGAGUUGGCAUGGAUUCAGCAGAAUAUGAACCCUCCUGAUGGGCUUGAUUUCAGGGUCUCAGAGAAACGAAGAGGGGAACAGGCCUCUGACCAAAUAGCCAAGCCACUCACGACUGCCCAUGCAUCCAUAUAAAGGCUAACCUCAGGCUACUUCUCUUCCUGCACCAAUGGAAUGACCAGGCACACCACCCAAAGCUCUGCCAUUGGGAAGAUUUUCCCUCAUCUCUGUCUUUCAAGGCUGUAGAGGAGCAACAGUCCAUUUUUUGGCUUAUACCACGUCCUGAAAUGACCCAUCUGUGAACAAGCUUGGGCUUUUCCCUCUUCAAUCAUCUGGUCAAGAGUCUUCUCCAACCAUGAAGCCAUUGGUGGCAGCUGAAGGAGAAGAACCAGUGCAACAGUGGUGGAUCACAUGAAAGCGUGGGCUACUCAGUCAUGCAGCUUCCUGUGCUUUCAGGCCUUGCUUGUUCCUGAUCCUAGAUGUUCCACUUCUAACAUAUAAUAAAUUGC